AAUACGCCCUAGGGGAGCGGAAUGCUGAGAGUGCCGGCGCCGCCGGCAGACCCUAGAAACCUGAUCAGGGUGAUACCUGCGGAGGGAAGGGGUUGAGCAUUCCG
rnacentral:ncRNA from 2 species